AUGGGUGCCGGCCUAUACAGUUACCUCGAUCAAACCAUCCAAGAACCUUCCAAAACAAUCACCACCAAGACCACCGAUUGCAAGGACCAGGUUGUUGUGAACCCUGACUAUGCCCCCUGGUUAAUCCAGGACCAACAGAUCGUAGCAUAUCUUCUCAGGAAUCUUUCCAAAGAGGUUCUCGUCCAGGUCGCGUCGCUUGAGCGAUCACAUGCGAUUUGGAGCGCCCUAGGGAACAUGUUCUCUGCUGUCUUCCUCUCUCGCGCCAACAACAUCCGAGCCGCUCUCACCAACGCACAGAAGGGGUCUCAAUCCGCCUCAGCAUACUUCGGCCACAUGCGCUCGCUCUCUGAUGAACUCGCGGUGGCGGGCAAACCCAUCGGAGAGCUAGAGCUCAUCUCCUUCAUCAUUGCGGGCCUCGACAUGGAAUAUCAGCCGAUCGUCUCUACGCUGGACGUCCGCACCGAGCCAAUCACCGUUGACAUCCUCUUCUCCAUGGUGGCGAACUUCGACCAGCGGGUCGAGAUGUUCCAUGGCAACGGCGGCGGCGCCUUCAAGUCGUCGGCAAACAUUGCUUCUCGC
rnacentral:rRNA from 1 species